rnacentral:rRNA from 1 species
GAUGAACGCUGGCGGCGUGCCUAAUACAUGCAAGUCGAGCGAACGGACGAGAAGCUUGCUUCUCUGAUGUUAGCGGCGGACGGGUGAGUAACACGUGGAUAACCUACCUAUAAGACUGGGAUAACUUCGGGAAACCGGAGCUAAUACCGGAUGAUAUUUUGAACCGCAUGGUUCAAAAGUGAAAGACGGUCUUGCUGUCACUUAUAGAUGGAUCCGCGCUGCAUUAGCUAGUUGGUAAGGUAAUGGCUUACCAAGGCAACGAUGCAUAGCCGACCUGAGAGGGUGAUCGGCCACACUGGAACUGAGACACGGUCCAGACUCCUACGGGAGGCGGCAGUAGGGAAUCUUCCGCAAUGGGCGAAAGCCUGACGGAGCAACGCCGCGUGAGUGAUGAAGGUCUUCGGAUCGUAAAACUCUGUUAUUAGGGAAGAACAUAUGUGUAAGUAACUGUGCACAUCUUGACGGUACCUAAUCAGAAAGCCACGGCUAACUACGUG